rnacentral:rRNA from 1 species
AUUGAACGCUGGCGGCAGGCCUAACACAUGCAAGUCGAGCGGCAGCACGGGAAGCUUGCUUCCUGGUGGCGAGCGGCGGACGGGUGAGUAAUGCAUGGGAAUCUGCCCGAUAGUGGGGGAUAACGUGUGGAAACGCACGCUAAUACCGCAUACGUCCUACGGGAGAAAGGAGGGGAUCUUCGGACCUUUCGCUAUCGGAUGAGCCCAUGUUGGAUUAGCUAGUUGGUGAGGUAAUGGCUCACCAAGGCAACGAUCCAUAGCUGGUCUGAGAGGAUGAUCA